rnacentral:tRNA from 2 species
GCCGCCGUAGCUCAGUCCGGUAGAGCAGCGGGCUUUUAACCCGAAGCGCGCAGGUUCGAAUCCUGCCGGCGGCA